rnacentral:misc_RNA from 1 species
GAUGAAGAACGUAGCGAAAUGCGAUACGUAAUGUGAAUUGCAAAUUCAGUGAAUCAUCGAAUCUUUGAACGCACAUUGCGCCUCCUGGUAUUCCGGGAGGCAUGCCUGUUCGAGCGUCAUUAAAAUCACUCAAGCUUAGGUUUACCUAUUGCUUGGUCUUGGAGAUGGAAGCCAAUUUAUUGGAAUCCUCUUCGAAAUUCAAUGGCGAAGACCCUUGCUCUCCCAAGUGUAGUAAUAACUUAUGUCACUGAAGGAAGCGAGAAAUCUUCUGCCGUAACCCCCAUAUUUUCUAUGAUUGACCUCGGAUCAGGUAGGGAUACCCGCUGAACUUAAGCAUAUCAAUAAGCGGAGGA